CUACGGGGGGCUGCAGUGGGGAAUAUUGCACAAUGGACGAAAGUCUGAUGCAGCAACGCCGCGUGGAGGAUGACACAUUUCGGUGCGUAAACUCCUUUUAUAUAGGAAGAUAAUGACGGUACUAUAUGAAUAAGCACCGGCUAACUCCGUGCCAGCAGCCGCGGUAAUACGGAGGGUGCAAGCGUUACUCGGAAUCACUGGGCGUAAAGAGCGUGUAGGCGGGUAGUUAAGUCAGAAGUGAAAUCCAAUAGCUCAACUAUUGAACUGCUUUUGAAACUGAUUACCUAGAAUAUGGGAGAGGUAGAUGGAAUUUCUGGUGUAGGGGUAAAAUCCGUAGAGAUCAGAAGGAAUACCGAUUGCGAAGGCGAUCUACUGGAACAUUAUUGACGCUGAGACGCGAAAGCGUGGGGAGCAAACAGGAUUAGAUACCCCUGUAGUC
rnacentral:rRNA from 1 species